rnacentral:rRNA from 1 species
UACGUAGGGUGCAAGCGUUAAUCGGAAUUGCUGGGCGUAAAGCGUGCGCAGGCGGUUUUGUAAGUCUGUCGUGAAAUCCCCGGGCUCAACCUGGGAAUUGCGAUGGAGACUGCAAGGCUAGAAUCUGGCAGAGGGGGGUAGAAUUCCACGUGUAGCAGUGAAAUGCGUAGAGAUGUGGAGGAACACCGAUGGCGAAGGCAGCCCCCUGGGUCAAGAUUGACGCUCAUGCACGAAAGCGUGGGGAGCAAACAGG